ensembl:lncRNA
CGCCCUCCGCACCCCGGCCCCCACUGCCCUCCGUGCACCGGCCUCCGCUGGCCUACCUCACCCUCGGAGCCCCGGUUGCGACACUGUCCACAAUGUUACCGCUGGAGGGGAAUGCAGAAGAGGGCACGGCAGUCUCUCUGCUUUACUGUUUACAACUGAGCCUGAAUCUUCAAUUACCUCAAAGAUUAAAAAUUUAAUUAAAAAUCAAUUUCUGUUGUUUACAGGAUUAUAGAAAAAAUUAAUCCAUAAGGUCACUGAGAUGUGUGGAGACACAUGUACAGAAAGCCUUUGACAAAAUUCGACAUGCAUGAUUUUAAAAACCCAGCAAACUAGAUGAACCCGCAAUAGAAGAACUCAGCAAAAUAGAGGAUAGUUGCUUCAGGUGAUAAAGGGCAUUUGAAGAAUCUAACACUUAAUAUAAUGAUAACAGUGAAACAGCAAACAGUUUUCUCUUAAGAUGGGAAACAAGGCGAGACGCUGCUGCUGUUGCUGCUGAGUCGCGUCAGUUGUGUCCGACUCUGUGCGACCCCAGAGACGGCAGCCCACCAGGCUCCCCCAUCCCUGGGAUUCUCCAGGCAAGAACACUGGAGUGGGUUGCCAUCAUUGCUCCCUAAUUCCCCAGCGUGGGGUGGAGAGGCAGCUGCUGCAAUAUUUCAAGAAAGAUGACAAGCAUCUCAGCAGAUGCCAGAGGUCAACGGUCCGUUCCUCUCAGCUCCUCAAGCUGACACACCGCUUCUAGCUGUCCUCAAGUCCAAGGCAGAUAAAAGGCUGGGCUAGUGGAUGCUCGUCCUAUGAGUUCCGUUCCGCUGAAACAUGGAAGGGUUUGGCGAGCAGAGCUCCUGCGUGCCACACUGACCCUCUGGUCAGUGAACCGGCUGGCAGCAAGCUUGUCCUGCUGACAACCCCUUCGUCCUCAGCCGAAGCCCUCACCAUCACCAUGUGAGAGGCGCGUCCACGGGCUGUGGCUGGGCUCCAGUGCUCAUGGGGUAAGCCGGUCAGACUCAGGAGCCACAAGGGGCUCCUUCAGGUAAGUCACUUUGGAGACGCCCGAGGUCUCCCCCAGACUCCUGCCUCCAGCCCCAGCCUCAGUCCCCACUCAGGGCACACGCCCCAUGCAUCCUCUCAGGCUGCAGCUGGAGCGCCCCCCCAGGCUCAUCUCCUCCCCCAGGCCCACCCCAGGUGGGAGGAAGCCGCCUCCCCAGAGCCACCUCUCACACCACUGUCAGAGCCCACACUCCAGGACGAUGAUGUGAACUUGGUAAAUAAUCGUCAACUCAAUGAAUGGACGCAAGAAGCCUGGGAGAGGGUCCAGGAACUAUGGCUGCAUGUCUUAUCAGCGGCUGAUGACACAACUGUUUAUCAUGACAUUGUUUCGAACCGUUCACACUGGCACAGAAUCUCAGCAAAACUACCUGAUGGAGCCUGGGAGCCCCUGAGUCCAAGGGCACCCUGGGGAGGCGUCUGCUCACCUGGUGCAAAGCUGUUCGGGGUUUCCAAUCCACCCCCGAUCUGCGAAUGCACCCUUGUGGCCAAUAGGACUGUGGACGUGGAGGCUCUGAAGCGGGCGACGGUACCGAUGGCCCCGGGGCGAGUGUAACCUCAGAGUCCUGACGAGGGAAGGAGGGAGGCAGGCAGGUCGGAGUCAGGGAGGCCUCAGGGCUGCAGGGAGCUGACCCUGACUGCGGACUCGACCGACGCCCAGAGCUCGUGUUCGGGCUGCAGGCGGGAGCUGACCCUGUACCGUGGACUCGACCGACGCCCAGAGCUCGUGUGGUUCCACCCCCACCCCCACCCGGGACGAGGACAGUGAGCCUGGGGGUCGGGGACUCAGGGCCAGAAUGGCGGUCACAGCCACGCGCACAUUCAGAGCUGAGCUUCAGGACUUCCUGCCGAUACAGGUGCUCCCGC